GGGUGAUUAGCUCAAUUGGUAGAGCAACUCGCUUACAACGAGAAGGCUAGUGGUUCGAGUCCACUACUACCCA